rnacentral:rRNA from 1 species
GAUGAACGCUGGCGGCGUGCUUAACACAUGCAAGUCGAACGAAGCACUUUAAUCGAUUUCUUCGGAUUGAAAUUUUAGUGACUGAGUGGCGGACGGGUGAGUAACGCGUGGGUAACCUGCCUCACACAGGGGGAUAACAGUUGGAAACGGCUGCUAAUACCGCAUAAGCGCACAGUACCGCAUGGUACGGUGUGAAAAACUCCGGUGGUGUGAGAUGGACCCGCGUCUGAUUAGCUAGUUGGCAGGGCAAUGGCCUACCAAGGCGACGAUCAGUAGCCGACCUGAGAGGGUGACCGGCCACAUUGGGACUGAGACACGGCCCAAACUCCUACGGGAGGCAGCAGUGGGGAAUAUUGCACAAUGGGGGAAACCCUGAUGCAGCGACGCCGCGUGAGCGAAGAAGUAUUUCGGUAUGUAAAGCUCUAUCAGCAGGGAAGAAGAAAUGACGGUACCUGACUAAGAAGCACCGGCUAAAUACGUGCCAGCAGCCGCGGUAAUACGUAUGGUGCAAGCGUUAUCCGGAUUUACUGGGUGUAAAGGGAGCGCAGGCGGAAGGCUAAGUCUGAUGUGAAAGCCCGGGGCUCAACCCCGGUACUGCAUUGGAAACUGGUCAUCUAGAGUGUCGGAGGGGUAAGUGGAAUUCCUAAGUGUAGCGGUGAAAUGCGUAGAUAUUAGGAGGAACACCAGUGGCGAAGGCGGCUUACUGGACGAUAACUGACGCUGAGGCUCGAAAGCGUGGGAGCAAACAGGAUUAGAUACCCUGGUAGUCCACGCCGUAAACGAUGAAUACUAGGUGUCGGAAAGCACAGCUUUUCGGUGCCGCGCAAACGCAUUAAGUAUUCCACCUGGGGAGUACGUUCGCAGGAAUGAAACUCAAAGGAAUGAACGGGGACCCGCACAAGCGGUGGAGCAUGUGGUUUAAUCGAAGCAACGCGAAGACCNUUACCAAGUCUUGACAUCCUUCUGACCGACCAGUAAUGUGUCCUUCCUUCGGACAGAAGAGACCAGGUGGUGCAUGGUNGUCGUCAGCUCGUGUCGUGAGAUGUUGGGUUAAGUCCCGCAACGAGCGCAACCCUUAUCCCCAGUAGCCAGCAUUUCGGGUGGGCACUCUGAGGAGACUGCCAGGGAUAACCUGGAGGAAGGUGGGGAUGACGUCAAAUCAUCAUGCCCCUUAUGACUUGGGCUACACACGUGCUACAAUGGCGUAAACAAAGGGAAGCGAGACCGUGAGGUGGAGCAAAUCCCAAAAAUAACGUCUCAGUUCGGACUGUAGUCUGCAACCCGACUACACGAAGCUGGAAUCGCUAGUAAUCGCAGAUCAGAAUGCUGCGGUGAAUACGUUCCCGGGUCU